GCAGCCAUAACACCACGAUGCUCGUUCCGCACAGAGCCUCAGUAGGCUUUUUUUCACGAGCGGGUAAGGUCUGAGUAUGCUCCCAUGAUUGGCUCUAGCUGGGUCCAGGAUUAACUUCACCUGAGCAACAUAUCAGAAAAUAGCCAGCAACGCAUCUGUAUCUCUAAGAUCUAUGGUUGCCUCUUUCGAGAUAAGGAGAGGGAGCUAUAGGGAGAGGACUGCGCUUAUGGCUUGGAAGUUGUUGCGGAGCUGGAGUGCUUUGGGCUUGUUCUGAAUGCUUUUAUCGGCGACGUGGUGUUUCUUUCGAAACGCCAGGCACGCUCCGACUCAUUGGCUACGGCCUCUUGGGUUUUGUGCCUUCUCGAGUUCUCAUUUUUGGACUUCGAGGCGAUGGGUGUACAUCUUCAAUCUGACCUGACAGUUGGAAAUUGCACCGAGCGUACCGCGCCGGGCGUCCCCUUUUCCCUACCUCCCACAUUUUGCCUGACGGUAUCGCCUCAAGUACGAGGAAGAGUCACAUUCUCCAAGCUCAGAGUGUUCUUUAGUGCACUUCGUGGUGCGCGUUGGAAGUCAUCUUUUGGUUACUCCCGACGCGCGACUCGAUUCAGACUACUCUAUGUCUGC
rnacentral:RNase_P_RNA from 1 species